rnacentral:tRNA from 1 species
UUUAUUUGUGCAAUCCAAAUUAUACUGAUAAAUAUACUCUUACUCGACUUAUUCUAUUUUUUAUGAGAAGUAUCUU